CAUAUAUGUCACUAUAACAGCAAUUUUCUUAAAUAGAUUACUUAAUAUGCCUAUAUUUUCUUAAACAUAUAUUGUUGUGCUUGUAUAAUUUUACAAUAUAAUAUAUGUAUUAAGUGCUUCACGUUUUGAGUUAGUGACUUCAUUAUUUGCAUAAUCAUUUUUGAUUAUGUAAAUAGCUAUCCAUUCUAAAACAUAAUCUAUCAAAUUUUUCAAUUGUUUUUUUUAAAUUAUAAUAUCAAACCAACCUUUUAUCUAAUAAAGUAGGUAUAUACGUAUGUAGGUAUCAAUAAUUCACUAGCG